AUGCCUUUGCCUGUACCUAGUGUUCCUUGGGAGGAUAUAUCUAUGGACUUUGUUUUAGGUUUACCUCGAACAAAGAAGGGGAGGGAUAGCAUAUUUGUUGUCGUGGAUAGAUUCUCGAAAAUGGCACACUUUAUACCAUGUCAUAAAAGCGAUGAUGCUGUUAAUGUUGCUGAUUUGUUCUUUCGUGAAAUUAUUCGCUUGCAUGGUGUGCCAAAUACUAUUGUUUCAGAUCGUGAUACUAAAUUUCUUAGCCACUUUUGGAGAUGUUUAUGGGCUAAGUUGGGGACUAAACUGCUUUUUAGUACUAUAUGUCACCCCCAAACUGAUGGACAAACUGAAGUAGUCAAUAGAAUGUUGUCUACUAUGCUUAGGGCUGUUUUGAAGAAUAAUAAGAAAAUGUGGGAGGAAUGCUUGCCUCAUAUUGAAUUUGCUUAUAAUCGUUCAUUGCAUUCUACUACUAAGAUGUGCCCUUUUGAAGUUGUGUAUGGUUUCCUACCUCGUGCACCUAUUGAUUUGUUGCCUCUUCCAUCUUCGGAGAAGGUUAAUUUUGAUGCUAAACAACGUGCUGAAUUGAUUUUAAAAAUGCAUGAGUUAACUAAGGAAAAUAUUGAGCGUAUGAAUGCUAAAUAUAAACUUGCUGGAGAUAAGGGUAGAAAACAUGUUGUGUUUGCACCUGGAGAUCUUGUUUGGUUACAUUUGCGUAAGGAUAGAUUUCCUGAUUUGCGCAAAUCAAAGCUAAUGCCACGUGCUGAUGGUCCCUUUAAGGUGUUAGAGAAAAUAAAUGAUAAUGCAUAUAAACUUGAGCUGCCUGCAGAUUUUGGGGUUAGUCCCACUUUUAACAUUGCAGAUUUGAAGCCUUAUUUGGGUGAGGAAGAUGAACUUCCGUCGAGGACGACUUCAUUUGAAGAAGGGGAGGAUGAUGAGGACAUCAAUACAAUUGUUACACCCACAGCCCCUGCUGCUAUACAUACUGGACCAAUUACUAGAGCUCGCGCACGCCAACUAAAUUACCAGGUACUUUCGUUUCUUGGUAAUGAUUCUAAUGUUCAUUGA
rnacentral:rRNA from 1 species